AAAUAUUUUUAUAUUUUUUUGACCCUGUUGUCUUUUCUCUGCGUUUCCUUUCUCCAUGAACUCAUGUCACAUGAUUUGAGUUGACCAACCCCUAAAGCAGGUUACUUCCUCCAUCUGCUGAUCUACUGGUUGUAGCAGAUUGUGGAGAGGUGAGGACGCGACGAUGACUUGAUCAGAUAACGGUGGUCGACAGGAGCAAAACUCACAGCAAACAGGUAUCCAGUGCAGCUACAUUGAAUAAACUACAUCAGUCGGUUGGUUGACAGACAGGCCAGCAUCUUACAAACUGCUGGAUGCUUUCAGCUUCCUGUGAGUGUCGAUGACAAAGAGAAGAUUGUGAAGGACUUCAAACAUUAAUUUACCGCAAUCAUUUCUCUAUUCAAAGAUUCAAGGUUGGCCUUUCAACCCUGGAUUUUGUUUAUGGUUUGGAGCCACAUGCUUCCGUGUUCAGGCCCCUUAUGUGCACAAGUGUGGAAAAGCUGACAUCAGAAGCUUUAGAGACAGAGACAACAUAAUCCCACACUUUGCCAGAAAUAACUAAAGUCCAGAGUGAAGAUGGCAUCACUUAUCUUGCUUGUUUGAAAGAACGUGCAGAAUAUCUGUUGUUGCCAAUCCCAAUGUGAACGGCUGAAGACCCACAGACGUUUGUGGAAUGUCGACCGUUCCAGAUCUAGACCAAAUCCAGAGGAACAACGCUCAUCAUGCAAUAGAUUUGUUCGAACAAUAGCUGUGUGUGGCAAGCGAAUUCCCAGUCUCCUUUCAAGUAUGGAAUGCAAGCUGGGGACUUUCUUUGGCGUAAUUCAUAAUAGCAUAAUAACAUAAUUCUGUCUGGCAACAACGAUGCCCGAGUUGCACUGCUGCUCAGGUUUAUGAAUAUGGGAGCAGUGGAUCGGUCAACCUUCGUCAAAAUGCAAGACAGUUACUGUGUUGACACUAUCAAAGACUUUUGGGACAACCACAAGUCUGGUUAUUGUUCUUUACCAUAGACGUCCAGUGCAGCGAUGUUGAAUGAACUACAUCAGUCAGUUGACAGACAGGUCAGCAUCUUACAAACAGCUGGUUGCUUUCAGCUCCUACAGAGCUGAAGUAGUUUCAGGAUAAUGUUGUAGUACUUGGUGAGUAUAAUACUCAGUUAUGGGUGAAUGAACCCAGCCCUGGGUUUUGUGCUCAGUCCUGUAUCUACACCGUCAUGGAAAAGGACACUAAAUAAAUCGUAUCAAUAGGAAACAUUGACAAGUGUGAGACUCAGAGGAGUUCUGGGAAGGCUUUAUCGCUUUACCAGAAGCUUUGACCAGCUCCACCCGGAGGUUAAACUUGCUGAAGUGUGCACAGAUGCACAUUCACACAUAUCUGCUCUGUUCAUCAAUGGAAAAUACAAGGACAGUGAAGUGCUACACACUUUAGACAUGUGGCAUGGUUCUAACAACCUGGGCAAAAAGAUCCAUUCAGCAAGGUAGCAAAGAGGUUGUUCCAUUCUUCUGCAGUGGAACAAGGAGAUCUGCAAUCAUUUUUGAUUCUGCUGCAAGAACUGUGACGACUUUUUUUGUGAGACAUGUGGCAAGGCCUUCUACACCAUGUCACAGGAGAGCAUGAGUGGCCCCUGGAUGCCUGUCAGCGUGGUCCCUUGGAGGAGCACAGAGACAAGGAGUGAACAGAGAAGGGAUAAGGUUCCCAUCAGAUUUAUCAGAAGUCAUUCUCAAUGAACGCUGGCUAAAAGAGCUUCACAAGUUCUGGCGC